UACAGAGGUCCCAAGCGUUGUUCGGAUUCACUGAGCGUAAAGGGUGCGUAGGCGGCCGGGUAAGUCUGAUGUGAAAUCUCACAGCUUAACUGUGAAACUGCAUUGGAUACUAUCCGGCUCGAGGAAUGGAGGGGGGACUGGAAUUCUUGGUGUAGCAGUGAAAUGCGUAGAUAUCAAGAGGAACACCAGUGGCGAAGGCGAGUCCCUGGACAAACCCUGACACUGAGGCACGAAAGCCAAGGGAGCAAACAGG
rnacentral:rRNA from 1 species